AACGUAGGGGACAAGCGUUAUCCGGAUUUACUGGGCGUAAAGCGCCCGUAGGCGGCCUGAUAAGUUGGACGUGAAAGCUCCCGGCUUAACUGGGAGAGGCCGUUCAAAACUGUGAGGCUAGAGUGAGGCAGAGGAGCGCGGAAUUCCCGGUGUAGUGGUGGAAUGCGUAGAGAUCGGGAGGAACACCAGUGGCGAAAGCGGCGCUCUGGGCCUAAACUGACGCUGAGGGGCGAAAAGCGUGGGGAGCAAACAGG
rnacentral:rRNA from 1 species